rnacentral:sRNA from 1 species
AGGUACCACUUGUGCACUCGUGCGCGAGCCCGGUCCGAUUCCCGCGCGCACCCACCUGACAACCGCUCGCUACGUUUUAUUAGCC